GGGGGGAGGUCGGAUCCUGGGCUGUGUCCCUCAGCACCCUGGGCUCCUUGUGGGCCUGUGCUGCUGGAAUCGCCCUCCCGGGCCCUCGCAGCCCCCU
rnacentral:pre_miRNA from 1 species